CCUACGGGUGGCAGCAGUGGGGAAUAUUGCACAAUGGGCGCAAGCCUGAUGCAGCCAUGCCGCGUGUGUGAAGAAGGCCUUCGGGUUGUAAAGCACUUUCAGCGGGGAGGAAGGCGUUAAGGUUAAUAACCUUGGCGAUUGACGUUACCCGCAGAAGAAGCACCGGCUAACUCCGUGCCAGCAGCCGCGGUAAUACGGAGGGUGCAAGCGUUAAUCGGAAUUACUGGGCGUAAAGCGCACGCAGGCGGUCUGUCAAGUCGGAUGUGAAAUCCCCGGGCUCAACCUGGGAACUGCAUUCGAAACGGGCAGGCUAGAGUCUUGUAGAGGGGGGUAGAAUUCCAGGUGUAGCGGUGAAAUGCGUAGAGAUCUGGAGGAAUACCGGUGGCGAAGGCGGCCCCCUGGACAAAGACUGACGCUCAGGUGCGAAAGCGUGGGGAGCAAACAGGAUUAGAUACCUUGUAGUC
rnacentral:rRNA from 1 species